GGAGGUCAGCGGCGGACGGGUGAGUAACACGUGGGCAACCUGCCUGUAAGACUGGGAUAACUCCGGGAAACCGGAGCUAAUACCGGAUACUAUGUCAAACCGCAUGGUUUGACAUUCAAAGACGGUUUCGGCUGUCACUUACAGAUGGGCCCGCGGCGCAUAGCUAGUUGGUGAGGUAAUGGCUCACCAAGGCGACGAUGCGUAGCCAACCUGAGAGGGUGAUCGGCCACACUGGGACUGAGACACGGCCCAGACUCCUACGGGAGGCAGCAGUAGGGAAUCUUCCGCAAUGGACGAAAGUCUGACGGAA
rnacentral:rRNA from 2 species